UACGAAGGGGGCUAGCGUUGUUCGGAAUCACUGGGCGUAAAGCGCACGUAGGCGGACUUUUAAGUCAGGGGUGAAAUCCCGGGGCUCAACCCCGGAACUGCCUUUGAUACUGGAAGUCUUGAGUCCGAGAGAGGUGAGUGGAACUCCGAGUGUAGAGGUGAAAUUCGUAGAUAUUCGGAAGAACACCAGUGGCGAAGGCGGCUCACUGGCUCGGUACUGACGCUGAGGUGCGAAAGCGUGGGGGAGCAAAACAGGAAUUCAGAGUACCCCCCCGUAGUCCA
rnacentral:rRNA from 1 species